rnacentral:tRNA from 1 species
UACGGGAUGGUCGAUAAAGUCGGUAGAUUGUAAAUCUAUGAAUGAGUAUAUAAUACUCUUCCGUAA